AAAAUCUAUAGAAGUCAUGCAACAGGGUUGAGUUUUAUCAAACCUGCCAAAAAAAAAACCCAAGCUGGUUGAUUAAUUAAAUGAUCCUAGCGUUUAACUAAAAAUGACACCAGUUCGCAUGGAUUAAAGGACAGAUCCGGAUGAGAAGAUGUUAAAAAAAAAAAAAAAAGGAAAAAUAUUUAGAUUGGAAGUCCGCUUUAAAACUCUGCUGUAAAAGACGUCAUCAAUAAAAAAUGUGGUAGGGAGCCUGCAGAAGGCUUACAGCACAGAUCGUGGAGUUAUGACACGUGAGAGUAUCCACAACAAGGAUUUUUUAUUUCCACACAGUGGGGCCUCACAGCCGCAGUCCCUGCUGUGAACCUUGCAUGGCAACAAAGCGAGCCAAGCACAUCUGCAAAGUGUUGCCAUAGAGAAAACUACAAUGCCAUCUAGAAAAGCUUCCUGAUUAGGAUCACAAAUUGUCAUCUAUCUAUGCUUUAAAACACUAAGAGCUGCCAUUUGGGCCCACGAUGGUUGUUAGCUCAUUUGUUUAUCUAGGCAAUGAUGCACAUAACCAGGCUUAUCUUUUGGAAGAAAAACCUCCUUUAGUCUUUAGGUGUGCACAACUUAUUUCAGUAUGAGAAAUAUUGGAUGAUAGGAUCAGAUAUUGCCUCACUGUACUCUUCAUAAAAGCCUGACCUCAAUGACUGCUAGAAGACAACAGUAUUAGCAGGGAGGCUAAUCAAAUGAGCUAAGGCAAAGACAGUUCCUCUCAUCUCCUUCCACACAGUGAGUAACAUCUUUUACUCAAGGGAAAGAGGAUAAUGGCAGGGAUACAAUCUUGUGGCAGGCAGGCUGUUGCUUCUUAAUGAUUUUCUACCAAAAGGAAAAAAAAAUAAAUCAUGCUUAGCCAUUGAUUAUUGAUAAGGGUGAUAAGCAGUUUUCUUGAGAUGUACUAGGUACUUUAAAAGUUAACUUUCAUUCUCCAUUAGCACUUCUUAUCGCAGAUACUGUAUUGAACUGCUCUAAAUAUUAGAAUUGAAUAAAUACUAUUUUGCCAAAUCAGUUUAUUAAUUUGGUAUUUUUUUUCCCUGCCAUACCCACCCAUACAAUGCCACUUACAGCUCUGAGAAUGAAGACUGACUCCUUUAUUAAGAAAUGUCAUGGCUGACAGAACAAAUUUCCUUUUGUUUCUUGUUUCAGGUUGCUAAAUACCUUUCGUAGUUCUCCCUAUACAUGCCAAUUUUUAUUAGCUGACUCACCAAUUAGUAGCUUGGCUAAGCACUUUAGGAUACUUCCAUAUGAAACUACCUUUAUAAAAAAUUAAAAUCAACAUAUUUGCAGUUCAUUUUCUUUUAUUUCUGUAACCAAAACUGAAAUAGUUUUAAGAGGUAACAUUCUUCAGUUUCACAUAAAGAAUGUACAAGAAUACAUCUCAAAGUAUCACUGCUGCAAAGAGCACAACUAGGAUCAUAGUAGCUCAAGGGAGAUUAAGAGGUUAGACAACAGAAAAGCUAAGGAGAAACAAACAAUAGAGUUCCACAUGCAGAUAUAAGACUCUGGCUUAUUCCUAAGGGGAAACAGUACUUCAUGCCAGAUCAAGAAAUACUGUUAAAAUUUCUUAGCUCUCAUGCCUCAGAGCAUGGUAUUAUUUCGACUGGUAUCUCUGUAACGAAAAUGGACAGACUCCUGAAAAAUUUACAACGUAUGCACAACAGAAAGGGUAUAUCCUGAGUUAGGCACGAAGAAAAAAAUCCUGCAAUAGAUCAGCUUUGGCUACCAAAAACUGAGACAGAGAUUUCAGCAGUUACAAACAAAAUAUGGUUGGUGUUGGUGCAUCAUUACUAAAAGAAGUUCUAGGACUAUUUCAGCGUGUUCUACUUACCUGAAGUGUAGAAAAAGCAAUGUUCUACUGGCACAAGUGAGCCAGGUAUUGCUGGCUCAUAACAUCUUUGUAAUGACUUAACAGAGCAAACAACUUGCCUGUAGGAAUAAGGAUUCAUAUGUAGAUUAAGAAAGAAUAAAUUGGUAGAAAUAUACUGGAAUUUGGCGCUGAUUAGACCUUGAGGAGAGCUGUGAAGAGGGACACAGAAAGGUGUGAUUCAAGCGAACAGUGACAGAAGAUUGUAGUCAAUUUUCUACAACCAAUUGGUCUGUCUCCCCUCAUUAUGGUCAAGAUUGGUCCUUUGUAAUACAGGCAGUUUCUGGACAACAAACUUAUUAUUACUGUCAUGUUUCAUUGAGAAUGCUUGCAUAGAAGAUUACUUGGAUGACAGAUUUCUGCAGCUUAUAGAAUUUCUCCUGCCUUUUUCCUAGCACUGCACAGUCUUACUGAAAUUCCUUGUGGGUAACGUCCUUCCUUCUUUUAUUUAGCUUGUUUGGGCAAAAGAUGUGCGUUUCAUAGCUAAAUGCAAAUCCCUUUCCUAUUUAACAUGAACAGGCAUGUUAAUAGUAGCUAUUUCCAUACCUUCUUAAUACAGAAAAGUAAAAAAGUAAAUAGAAGCCUAAAUUGUCUCUAGUCCCGAAUUCUGUCUCAAGCCAGGUACCGAAGAAAAAUAACACAAAAAUCAAGGAAAACAUUUAUCAAUACUUCCACAAAAGACACUGAGCUUCCAGUAACACGUUGUUCAAGGGCUACCUACACCCAAAUGAUACGUUUGUAUUGAACAUUUAUCAAUAGAUAAGGUGUACAUGUGUUCAAAAAGUAUCGCACACAUUUCCCCAAUCUCAACUGCAGCACCUUGUGGCAAGUAAUUCCACAGCUUAACUAAAAUAAUACAGACUGUGCAGAAGAACUUCCUAGUGUGACUGAUUGUGUCUCAUCCCUAUUUCAGAUGAAAUCUUUAUCUUUUUUGAUUGAAGAAUCAUGUUUUCUUUGCCACAGAAGUUUAUUAGCCUGUAUAGAGAAAUUGCCCCUUUCACUGAGGGCAGGUGAGAUCAUAUUAGGAAUACUGCCUCAGGUUUCAGGCCCUGCCCACAUCUAUUUCUAUAGUGUAAGAAGCAUGUUCAAGAAAGUAUGAGAAUAGUAGAUGGGACCAAGAAAGAAUAUGCUGCAGAGAUCAUGAGGGAGCAUCUCCUACUGACCUAUUUCAACUUCAGUAUAUAAUUUUCCAGCAAAGAAUUCUUCAGUAAGCUUCUUGCCGUUAAGGCUCAAAUUUGGAAGAAACAAUGUUAGAGCAUUUAUUUAAUAUUACCAGCUCCUGUUAAAAGACAGUACUUAUGAAAUUUCCAAAAGCAGUGAAGAAGAAAUGACUGGUGUGGGCUACUGCUUUUCCUUCAGCAGAGUAGAAAGUCUUCCUCAGCCUACAGCAUCAGAAACGUAUUUAUUCAUUUUCAGAGCUCUGCAAACUGAACCCAAAUCACAUUCUAAAGAAACUCACAGAUAAGUAAUUACACUGAUAAGACCAAUUAGUGGCUAAACAGACUGUUUUUAACACCUGCGUAACUCCCAAUAUUAAAAAAUAAAAACAUUUAAAAGGUAAGAUUUAACAAGCUGAUUAAUACAGAUAAUACAGAUCCAUAAUAAACUAGAACAAGACUUUUAAAGAAAAUAGGGAAGAACUUAAAGAAACAUUAGCCAUGUCUUUUGAGUUAAACUGACUUCCUCCAAUUGUCUAUAUUCUAAUGCAAAUCGUAUUUAGAACAUCACAACAAAACAGAGCUACAAAGUGAACAAUGAUAAUUAAUCAGAUAGGACUGAGGACUGCAAGAUGUAGAGAUCUUAUUUAUGGAUAGAAUAUUUUUCUCUCACAAUAAGCUUUGGAUAGUCCAGGUUGACACACUACUUUUGGCAGAACGGUUUCCCUAUGAGAAAGAAAGGGUUACAUCAGUUACCAUCAGCCUAAAGGACUCACACCUGAAAAAGUAAGAGAGCUUGAAAAAGAAAAGGUAAAUAUAAAGAAACAGAACCUAAAGAAAAUGAUAGUAAUCUACAUCUUCUAAUUGUAAUCCCAGUUUCUCUGUUAAGACAUCAGGCUUCAUUUGAUCCCCACUAAAAAUAGGGAUAAAAACAACUGCUCCUGCACUGGGUUGCUUGACUCACACCUUUGAUUAGCCUGCUGGGCAGCCAACACUUAAUGGCUUCCUAUAAAAUGGUGCUUUCUCCUCCUAUGAGCUAGAACUCAUACCAAAAUAUGGCUUACUUGCUUCAUUUAGAAGAGUUUUACUGUUAUGGCUAGCUCUGUUUGCUAUGCUUCAGAAGGAAGUAAUACAAAGACUAACCAUGCUACUUAUACAGGCUGUUAUCUCCUACACAGGCAGCUAUUCCUCUGGAGCAACCUUCUGGAAAAAAUUUCACUUUUUUCAUCUGCCACUUCAAAUAAUAAUCCAUUUAUCAAGAGAUAAUGCCAUCCACUAUUGCAACAGCAGAACUAAAGAAGUGCUUCCUAAGAAUCCAGCAAGAGAAGCUGGGGAACAUCCAUAUCUGGUCCACAAGCAGCAGCUGCAGGGCGAUAAAUUGCAUUCACCAGCAGAGGUCUCCCGCAGCCUGCUGCUGUUACUGAAGCUGGCAGCUUGGAGCUCCGAAGGCAUAGCUAGGGAAAAAUUCAUGCAAGAUCUGUAAAUCAGGCCAUGUUCUCUUAUGUGCUAUGCUUAGCAUAAAUGGAAAACUUAAAAAAAAAAAAAAAAAAAAAAAAAAAAAAAAAAAAAAAGGAAACAUUAAGAAUGCUGUUGCAACUUGGCUCGAUUUUUUCCUGUUAAAUAUUGCUGAACAACAUUUGAAUAGUAUUAUAGAAAUCAUCUUUGUAAACAGCAUGACCACCAACAUGCAGAGUAACACUACAGUGCUUGACUUUGUGAAGGAAAUUCCUGAGACUUAUGAUGUACUUUCAUUUCGGGGUGCUUAUUAUGCUUUAAUCAUUGUUAAGGGAGUAUAGGAACACAAACAGAAAUUCACAGUUCAGAUAAGAAACAGGAUUUUUUGCAUACUGUUUAACCCUUUUUGCUCGCUCUCAUGUAUCAUAAAGAUAAACUUAUGUUAGGAUACAAACAGAAUCAGCUAGGCUAUACCAUCUCUUAUUACACCUCUAAUUCCUUUAAAAUAAAUAAUCUUUUUUUUUUUUAUGAAUGCUAUUGCACAAAUCGUGUAACAGAUGCUGUAUUCAUUUCUGCUUUAAACAAAUGAAAGCAAGGGCAUUUGUGUUUCUAAUGAUGAUUAAAUGAACUUUGCCUUUUAGUUCUUGUUUAUCAUUGUAAAUUACAGGUUUAGUUCUGCUUGCUGUCUGCUGUGAGCAUUAUCCUGUGAACUUCACGCAUGGAAAGUAGAAAUCAGUUUAUUGCAGUGCAUGCAGUCAGUAAUAUAAGCAAAGGAAAUAAGCCAUAAUUAAUUUAUGGUUUGAUCUUUAAACAAAAGCUUUUUCUACCCUGUUUUUUGUUGUUGUUGAUAAUAAAAUUCUUAAUAUAGUCAUGUCUUUCAUAGACAUUCAUAAUUCAAGGGACAAGUCAGAAGUUCUAGUUCAGCAAAAACAGUUGCUAAACUAUGGAAAAACACGUUUACUUUUCAUGCAUUUGAUCAAGUGUCUUUUAAAUAUGCUACAGUGUUCCCAUAGCUUGUAAGGGGUAGCUUGAUUUAAUUCCUUUCAUUUUGACAGAUGUGCUGCCUUUUUUCUAGUUUGACUCUCAUUUAUUAUUUUCUGUAUUAGUAAUUCGACAAAAUCUUUUAUCGGGACCAGACCUAUUGUGUUAUCAUAGUAUUGUUAUGUAAUAUGCCAACAAAAAUGGAGGGAAUACUUUUAUAGCAAAGAGUAGUUUGGUGUUGGAGCUGUAUUGCAACGUGAAGUUGCUUGGGUCAGAGGACAUAGCAAACUCUACCUUGAAUAGUUAAAAUGGAUUUACCAUAAUAGAAGAAAAUCAGCAAAACUGCAUACCCAACUUUCUACAUUUUUUGGACUUAGUAUUAGUAAGGCCAUAGGGUCCUGGGUGUAUUGGAUUAAUGAGCUAGUCCUGCACUAGUAGAUUUCUUCUCUGGGAUGUGAUUCGCAUUUCCCUUCCAAAAAGUCUCACACAGAUGACUUCUACAGCUUCCUAGGACAUCUCCGGUUUUCAGCUGAAGAGGGAAAACAAGUACCGGAGGGUUCACAGUUUUCACUGCUUUUCCAGCCAUCUCCUCUCUUCUGUGAAAGGAGUAGCACUUAAGGGCCCCUGCUGACUGCAGGUGUGAUGAUGUGCAAGGGGAAGGUGUGAGUUCCGUGCCCAGAGAGCUCAUGGGAACUAACAAUUUGUGUGACAAAUGGCCUCAGAGCAGGUUUCCUACAUAAUGGACUCCCACAAAACCAGUAGAGAUCAACUGCAUCCUGAAUGGUCUUCACUCACCAAAUGAUCUUACAAAGUGGUCUCAAGUAGAGUAUAUUGCACUUCAGUUCUGCAGUAGGAAUAGAUCUCUGAACUUUGCCUGUCAUGAUUUGCAGUGAGGACCAGAUGAGGCUGUGCUAUCUGAAAUGUACUUUAACACCUAAUGAUAUUAAUUGAGAGAAUGUAUCAUCAAGGCUUGAAACAAUUACCUGUAUGGGAUGUGUGUUGGAACUGACCAAGUCUUAAAAAAAUAUGUAAUUGUUUCUCCUGUAUUGGGUCCCAGUAGUUACAUAAAAAUGAGUUUAAUUUUCCUGAAGCGAACAGCUUGCACUUUUCACAGUUGUGCUAACACCACAAAAAAAAAACAAAAUCAGCAGAAAGUAAAGGUUUAGAUUGCAUGCUGAUCUCUUGUGCAGCUUUUUUAAUCCUCAGGCCAAGAGGCCAAAAUCCUUGUGAAUACUAAAUGAAUCCUAAUUUGGUGGAGGUUGUCAUAAAGCCAGGGGAAUUACUAGCGGUUAAAACAGUAACACUAUCAUCUCAUUUACAGGUAAAUCUGGAUAUAAACUACCAAGGUUACUUGUUGCAGGGAUGUUUUUAUUAUCUCCUUGCCUAGCUAAUUUUUCUUUCCAUACCAAAAGAAAUGCAGAUAUAUAGGUAAAACUAAAAUUAUAAUUAUGGUCUGUUUUGGUCUGUCAUCAAAUAAGGUUUGUGUCUUUUUGGUUCCUAGAGAGUCUGAAGAGAUAAUUAUAAAACUGUUUGUCCAUCACCAAGUUACUCCUCUGAUUAAAUUUUGCACCAGAAGUGGCCUUAAAAAUCCUUUUGUACAUUGCUUUGUUCGCAGGGAUAGGAAUAAAUGUUUUCUGCUUGAAAGUG